ensembl:rRNA 5S_rRNA 5S ribosomal RNA
GCUUACGGCCAUACCAGCUGAAGAACGCCUGAUCUCGUCUGAUCUCGGAAGCUAAGAAGGCUUGGGCCUGGUUAGUACUUGGAUGGGAGACUUCCUGGGAAUACUGGGUGCUGUAAGCU